rnacentral:rRNA from 1 species
AGUGAACGCUGGCGGUAGGCCUAACACAUGCAAGUCGAACGGCAGCACAGUAAGAGCCUGCUCUUGCGGGUGGCGAGUGGCGGACGGGUGAGGAAUACAUCGGAAUCUACUUUUUCGUGGGGGAUAACGUAGGGAAACUUACGCUAAUACCGCAUACGACCUACGGGUGAAAGCAGGGGAUCUUCGGACCUUGCGCGAUUGAAUGAGCCGAUGUCGGAUUAGCUAGUUGGCGGGGUAAAGGCCCACCAAGGCGACGAUCCGUAGCUGGUCUGAGAGGAUGAUCAGCCACACUGGAACUGAGACACGGUCCAGACUCCUACGGGAGGCAGCAGUGGGGAAUAUUGGACAAAGGGCGCAAGCCUGAUCCAGCCAUACCGCGUGGGUGAAGAAGGCCUUCGGGUUGUAAAGCCCUUUUGUUGGGAAAGAAAAGCAGCAGGUUAAUACCCCGCUGUUCUGACGGUACCCAAAGAAUAAGCACCGGCUAACUUCGUG